rnacentral:rRNA from 1 species
AGAGUUUGAUCCUGGCUCAGGAUAAACGCUGGCGGCGCACAUAAGACAUGCAAGUCGAACGAACUUAAUUGAGAGCUUGCUCUCAAAGCGGUUAGUGGCGGACUGGUGAGUAACACGUAAGCAACCUGCCUAUUAGAGGGGAAUAACAGCGAGAAAUCGUUGCUAAUACCGCAUAUGCUGUGAGUAUCGCAUGAUACAAGCAGGAAAGGAGCAAUCCGCUAAUAGAUGGGCUUGCGUCUGAUUAGUUAGUUGGUGGGGUAACGGCCUACCAAGACGAUGAUCAGUAGCCGGACUGAGAGGUUGAACGGCCACAUUGGGACUGAGAUACGGCCCAGACUCCUACGGGAGGCAGCAGUCGGGAAUAUUGCGCAAUGGAGGAAACUCUGACGCAGUGACGCCGCGUGCAGGAAGAAGGUUUUCGGAUUGUAAACUGCUUUUAACAGGAAAGAAAAAAAUGACGGUACCUGUUGAAUAAGCUCCGGCUAACUACGUGCCAGCAGCCGCGGUAAUACGUAGGGAGCGAGCGUUAUCCGGAUUUAUUGGGUGUAAAGGGUGCGUAGACGGAAAUGCAAGUUAGUUGUGAAAUACCUCGGCUUAACUGAGGAACUGCAACUAAAACUAUAUUUCUUGAGUAUCGGAGGGGUUUGUGGAAUUCCUAGUGUAGCGGUGAAAUGCGUAGAUAUUAGGAAGAACACCGGUGGCGAAGGCGGCCUGCUGGACGAAAACUGACGUUGAGGCUCGAAGGCGUGGGGAGCAAACAGGAUUAGAUACCCUGGUAGUCCACGCAGUAAACGAUGAAUACUUGGUGUCGGGGAGGUAAACUCUUCGGUGCCGCAAGCAAACGCAUUAAGUAUUCCACCUGGGGAGUACGUUCGCAAGAAUGAAACUCAAAGGAAUUGACGGGGACCCGCACAAGCGGUGGAGCAUGUGGUUUAAUUCGA